CACGCCCUAAACGAUGAUCACUAGACGUCAGAAAGCCUAAUCUUUUUGGUGUCGUAGCUAACGCGUUAAGUGAUCCGCCUGGGAAGUACGGUCGCAAGAUUAAAACUCAAAGAAAUUGACGGGGGCCCGCACAAGCGGUGGAGUAUGUGGUUUAAUUCGAUGCUACGCGAAAAACCUUACCUGGACUUGACAUCCCGCGCUAUCCUGUGAAAGCAGGAGUUUCCUUCGGGAACGCGGAGACAGGUGC
rnacentral:rRNA from 1 species